GAGAAAGUAAGCAAGGGCAGACGGUGGAUGCCUUGGCUCUCGGAGGCGACGAAGGACGUGAUAAGCUGCGAAAAGCUCGGGGGAGGCGCAAAUAGCCCUUGAUCCCGGGAUAUCCGAAUGGGGCAACCCGGCAGGCUGAAGGCCUGCCAUCCCGUAAGGGAGGCGAACGUGGGGAACUGAAACAUCUAAGUACCCAUAGGAGGAGAAAAUAAACAAUGAUUCCGUAAGUAGUGGCGAGCGAACACGGAAGAGCCCAAACCCGUGGCGUCUAGGCGACACGGGGGUUGUAGGACCACGACGUGGCAAGAUAGAGUCAAGUGGAACGCCUUGGAAAGGGCGACCGUAGAGGGUGAUAGUCCCGUACACGACUGACGAUUGAAGCCUAGUGGUAUCCUGAGUAGCGCGGGGCACGAGAAAUCUUGCGUGAAACUGCGGGGCCCAUCCCGUAAGGCUAAAUACUCCCGAGAGACCGAUAGCGAACCAGUACCGUGAGGGAAAGGUGAAAAGAACCCCGAGCAGGGGAGUGAAAUAGACCCUGAACCCGUCUGCCUACAAGCGGUCGGAGCAUCGUCAAGAUGUGACGGCGUGCCUUUUGCAUAAUGAACCUACGAGUUACCUUCCCCGGCAAGGUUAAGUACCUAAGGUACGGAGCCGAAGCGAAAGCGAGUCUGAAUAGGGCGGCCAGUCGGGGGGGGUAGACGCGAAACCGAGUGAUCUACCCUUGGCCAGGUUGAAGGUUGGGUAACACCAACUGGAGGACCGGAUGGGUAAGCGUUGAAAAGCUUUCCAAUGAGCUGAGGGUAGGGGUGAAAGGCUAAUCAAACUCGGAGAUAGCUCGUACUCCCCGAAAUGCAUUUAGGUGCAGCCUCUUUAUAGUAUAUCGUGAGGUAGAGCGACUGAUUGGAUGCGAGGGCUUCACCGCCUAUCAAGUCCAGAUAAACUCCGAAUGCGCGAUAUAUAUUUACAGGGAGUGAGGGCGCGGGUGCUAAGGUC
rnacentral:rRNA from 1 species